AGCACACAGGAAGGAUCAGAAUGCGACCAUUUAUGACAUCAUCCCAACUUUAAGGUGAUGGACGACACAUCCAUUUGGUGGAGCUAUUUGGAGACUAUUUCAUGUUCCAGUCAUUAGACCUGUGAAAUGAGCGCAGGCUUGGCAUCGAACGGGUACAGAAAAGAAGUCGUAUCUGUAGGCUGUGGUAGUCGGGCUUCACAACGGCGCCAUCAUGAUCCGGGUCUUCUGCAACUCAGACCUUUGAACGGCCUCUCUCCAGAGCGAACCAGGGUGGCUCCUUGAUACAGAAGUCACUAAAGAAAUCUGUGGAGAGGACCUGAGGCCUCCCAUCGAGAAAGCAACAGAGGACAGCAUCUUUGGUGCCCUUCUGCGUCCAUCCCACGUGAGGCUCCAAUCAAUGGCUGCUCAGCCACUUUGCUGCCAAAUUCCUGGCCCGUAAACACUGGGGGAGUUGUCAACUGCUUAUGGCCGAACCACGAGGUCUCAGGGUGAUUGGUGAUGCAACAAUCAAUACCUAAUAAAAAGGCAUCCAGAUGUUCAUCCAUUUGUUGGACGGGUAAUUUUUCAACAUCUUUGCACCAGGGGCUGGAUUGAUAUGACCAUGGACUCUGACAAAGAGCACAGGAGGAGAGAGACAGAGCUGGGAAGACAGCUCAGCGCAGUGCCUUUCCUCGCAAGCUGACUUGUUCUCAGCUUCAGUCUGAGGAAAGACCUGACUCUUGUUCCCACCAGUAGCUGAGUUCCUUCCCUCCAUACCUGCGUGCAGAACCUCAGCCACUGGUUUAAGCAGUAGGCAUGAUUAGCUCAUGAAACUAGGCGGCGUGGGUCCCGUUCAGUGCUAAAUAUGUCUUACCGCACAUAAUCUGCAAGUGCCUCUGUGGAAGAGCACUGAUAUUCCGGUUUUACAGAGUGAGAAAACGGAUGCUCAUAGAAGUAAAAGAAUGGUUGACUCUUGUGGUCAGACGGUAUAAUCCAGAACCUCUCUCUCCAAAGCUGGGCUCGUUUGUCUCCAUUGGUUUCAGACUCAGGUAGGCUUUCCCUCAGGAGUGCAGCCCCAGGAGUGCAAACUACCAACCUCGUACUCCUCACCACACUAGCGUAUCUCCUUGCAAAUAGUUCCUAAAAUUGUCCUGGAGCUGACAUCCAUUAGCUCUGGUCACCAUCCUACUCUGUCACAUGUCCACUCAACACAAAGGUGGUAGAGUGACCCCAAAUGAACUGCACUUACUGAGGGUAAGGGAAGGGUGGAUUCCUGAAAGAAUUCCCAGCUUUUAAUGCCAGGACAAAGGACAGCAAGUAAAUAACUGAUGUUCCCCGGAACCUUCUCUCUCUGCUGCCUUAAAUAAAAAGUGCCCAGUGGGAGAGGGUAGGAAAAAGAACUAAUGAAGUCAGCUUGGAUCAGAUAGAGUCUUGAAUCCAUUCUCUCAUUACCUAAAAGCUUAUUCAUAAGCCUGUACAUAAAUCUGUUAGCCUGAGGAGUAAAUGCAAUAGACAGUUGGGGCUGGCUUGUCCUGAUGUACAAAAGCCAAUUACAAUUUCCGGAAUUUUUCAAGAGGAUUGCAAAACAUAGCCACUCUUAAAAAAAAAAAAAAAAAAAAAAACAUAGCCACUCUUUAAAUGAGCAAGUUAAAUUUAAAAUUAAACUAUAUAUACUAAAGGCAAUAAGUAGGACUUUAAUAAUUAGUUUAAUAA
ensembl:lincRNA